rnacentral:rRNA from 1 species
UACGGGGGGGAGCAAGCGUUGUUCGGAUUUACUGGGCGUAAAGGGCGCGUAGGCGGCCACCGCAAGUCGACUGUGAAAUCUCCGGGCUUAACCCGGAAAGGUCAGCCGAUACUGCGGGGCUAGAGUGCAGAAGGGGCAACUGGAAUUCUCGGUGUAGCGGUGAAAUGCGUAGAUAUCAAGAGGAACACCUGCGGCGAAGGCGGGUUGCUGGGCCGACACUGACGCUGAGGCGCGAAAGCCAGGGGAGCGAACGGG